rnacentral:pre_miRNA from 1 species
AUAUAGGGCAAUUGUCUUUAAGUAGGGAUAAAUUGCUCUAAAGAAAAAUUAAUCCUAGAUAGUUUUCCCCUUGAGUCAAGUGUCUUGU